rnacentral:rRNA from 1 species
GACGAACGCUGGCGGCGUGCUUAACACAUGCAAGUCGAACGGAAAGGCCCCUUUGGGGGUACUCGAGUGGCGAACGGGUGAGUAACACGUGAGUAACCUGCCCUUGACUUCGGGAUAACUUCAGGAAACUGGGGCUAAUACCGGAUAGGAAUCCUUGCUGCAUGGUGGGGGUUGGAAAGCUUCGGCGGUUUUGGAUGGACUCGCGGCUUAUCAGCUUGUUGGUGGGGUAGUGGCUUACCAAGGCUUUGACGGGUAGCCGGCCUGAGAGGGCGACCGGCCACAUUGGGACUGAGAUACGGCCCAGACUCCUACGGGAGGAAGCAGUGGGGAAUAUUGCACAAUGGGCGGAAGCCUGAUGCAGCAACGCCGCGUGCGGGAUGACGGCCUUCGGGUUGUAAAACGCUUUCAGCAGGGGCGAAGCUUGUGGUGACGGUACCUGCAGAAGAAGCACCGGCUAACUACGUG